GGUUUCAUAGCUCAGUUGGUAAGAGCACUGAACCAGCAUUGCAGAACUCAUGCGUUUGAAUCCCACUGAAGCCA
rnacentral:tRNA from 1 species